AUGAUGGAGACGUCUUCUCGUGAUCAAGCUGGUGGAGGUCUGUGGAACUGUCCUAGAAGGACCCAGUACAGCAAGGAGAUUCAGGACAUACUGAAAUUAAUGAUGCAAGAGUCGAGACUCACCAACUUCCAGCAAAGACAGCUUAAUGACAAACUUAAGAGGAUCAGCUUUGCCAUUGACCUGCGACCCCACAUCAUCGGCUCCUCCGUCACUGCACAAACCACACUCCAGCCAAGCCCCUGGGGCGCACCGCUGACAAUUGUAGUUCUAGGGACAACUACAUCAGCUCUACUACAUUUCAACUAUCCGAGAUGCUUGGAAUUCUAA
rnacentral:lncRNA from 1 species